rnacentral:rRNA from 1 species
GAUGAACGCUAGCGGGAGGCUUAACACAUGCAAGUCGAGCGGCAAGGCAGCAAUGCCCUAGAGCGGCGCACGGGUGAGUAACGCGUAUGCAACCUACCUUAAACUGGGGGAUAGCCCGGAGAAAUUCGGAUUAAUACCCCAUGUGACAAUGAUGCUGCAUGGCAUUAUUGUUAAAGAUUUAUUGGUUUAAGAUGGGCAUGCGUGACAUUAGUUAGUUGGCGGGGUAACGGCCCACCAAGACUGCGAUGUCUAGGGGUUCUGAGAGGAUGAUCCCCCACACUGGUACUGAGACACGGACCAGACUCCUACGGGAGGCAG